UGUGAGCUCGAUGAGUAGGGCGGGACACGUGGUAUCCUGUCUGAAUAUGGGGGGACCAUCCUCCAAGGCUAAAUACUCCUGACUGACCGAUAGUGAACCAGUACCGUGAGGGAAAGGCGAAAAGAACCCCGGCGAGGGGAGUGAAAAAGAACCUGAAACCGUGUACGUACAAGCAGUGGGAGCACGCUUCGGCGUGUGACUGCGUACCUUUUGUAUAAUGGGUCAGCGACUUAUAUUCUGUAGCAAGGUUAACCGAAUAGGGGAGCCGAAGGGAAACCGAGUCUUAACUGGGCGUUAAGUUGCAGGGUAUAGACCCGAAACCCGGUGAUCUAGCCAUGGGCAGGUUGAAGGUUGGGUAACACUAACUGGAGGACCGAACCGACUAAUGUUGAAAAAUUAGCGGAUGACUUGUGGCUGGGGGUGAAAGGCCAAUCAAACCGGGAGAUAGCUGGUUCUCCCCGAAAGCUAUUUAGGUAGCGCCUCGUGAA
rnacentral:rRNA from 1 species